rnacentral:rRNA from 1 species
UGGGGAAUUUUGGACAAUGGGCGAAAGCCUGAUCCAGCCAUGCCGCGUGAGUGAAGAAGGCCUUCGGGUUGUAAAGCUCUUUUAGUCGGAAAGAAAGAGUCGCAAUGAAUAAUUGUGAUUUAUGACGGUACCGACAGAAAAAGCACCGGCUAACUACGUGCCAGCAGCCGCGGUAAUACGUAGGGUGCGAGCGUUAAUCGGAAUUACUGGGCGUAAAGGGUGCGCAGGCGGUUUUGCAAGUCAGAUGUGAAAGCCCCGGGCUUAACCUGGGAAUUGCGUUUGAAACUACAAGGCUAGAGUGCAGCAGAGGGGAGUGGAAUUCCAUGUGUAGCAGUGAAAUGCGCAGAGAUGUGGAAGAACACCGAUGGCGAAGGCAGCUCCCUGGGUUGACACUGACGCUCA